GCGGGCAUAGUUCAGUUGGUAGGACACUUCCUUGCCACGGAGGAUGUCGCGCGUUCGAGUCGCGUUACACGCU
rnacentral:tRNA from 1 species